ensembl:lncRNA
AUUACUGAGACAGGGUUAAUAUCAUUACUGAGACAGGGUUAAUAUCAUUACUGAGACAGGGUUACUAUCAUUACUGAGACAGGGUUACUGAGACAGGGUUACUGAGACAGGGUUAACAUCAUUACUGAGACAGGGUUACUGAGACAGGGUUACUGAGACAGGGUUACUAUCAUUACUGAGACAGGGUUACUGAGACAGGGUUACUAUCAUUACUGAGACAGGGUUACUGAGACAGGGUUAAUAUCAUUACUGAGACAGGGUUACUGAGACAGGGUUACUAUCAUUACUGAGACAGGGUUACUGAGACAGGGUUAAUAUCAUUACUGAGACAGGGUUACUAUCAUUACUGAGACAGGGUUAAUAUCAUUACUGAGACAGGGUUAAUAUCAUUACUGAGACAGGGUUACUAUCAUUACUGAGACAGGGUUACUGAGACAGGGUUACUAUCAUUACUGAGACAGGGUUACUGAGACAGGGUUAAUAUCAUUACUGAGACAGGGUUACUGAGACAGGGUUAAUAUCAUUACUGAGACAGGGUUACUGAGACAGGGUUAAUAUCAUUACUGAGACAGGGUUACUGAGACAGGGUUACUAUCAUUACUGAGACAGGGUUACUGAGACAGGGUUACUGAGACAGGGUUACUAUCAUUACUGAGACAGGGUUACUGAGACAGGGUUACUCAGACAGGGUUAAUAUCAUUACUGAGACAGGGUUACUGAGACAGGGUUACUAUUAUUACUGAGACAGGGUUACUGAGACAGGGUUAAUAUCAUUACUGAGACAGGGUUACUAUCAUUACUGAGACAGGGUUACUGAGACAGGGUUACUGAGACAGGGUUAAUAUCAUUACUGAGACAGGGUUACUGAGACAGGGUUAAUAUCAUUACUGAGACAGGGUUACUGAGACAGGGUUAACAUCAUUACUGAGACAGGGUUACUGAGACAUGGUUAAUAUCAUUUCUGAGACAGGGUUACUGCGACAGGGUUAAUAUCAUUACUGAGACAGGGUUACUGAGACAGGGUUACUGAGACAGGGUUACUGAGACAGGGUUACUAUCAUUACUGAGACAGGGUUACUGAGACAGGGUUACUGAGACAGGGUUAAUAUCAUUACUGAGACAGGGUUACUGAGACAGAGUUACUAUCAUUACUGAGACAGGGUUACUAAGGAGACAGGGUUACUGAGGAGACAGGGUUACUAAGGAGACAGGGUUACUAAGGAGACAGGGUUACUAAGGAGACAGGGUUACUAAGGAGACAGGGUUACUGAGGAGACAGGGUUACUAAGGAGACAGGGUUACUAAGGAGACAGGGUUACUAAGGAGACAGGGUUACUAAGGAGACAGGGUUACUAAGGAGACAGGGUUACUGAGGAGACAGGGUUACUGAGGAGACAGGGUUACUAAGGAGACAGGGUUACUAAGGAGACAGGGUUACUAAGGAGACAGGGUUACUGAGGAGACAGGGUUACUAAGGAGACAGGGUUACUAAGGAGACAGGGUUACUAAGGAGACAGGGUUACUAAGGAGACAGGGUUACUAAGGAGACAGGGUUACUAAGGAGACAGGGUUACUAAGGAGACAGGGUUAACAGCUCCUGUCUAGGUUCAUCUUGGAACGUUUAGGAAAGUUUGGAUUGUUUUAAAAAAGGUUUUUAUGGUUGGACCCUGUUAAUGUGGUAUGUUAAUAUUAUGACAAGAGAAGAGAAGGACAGUUCUAUAUAACUCUACUAUAACCCUGGUGUGAACCUGUUACACACACACACACACACACACUCAUAAACUCUCUCACACACACACACACACACACACACACACACACACACACACACACACAUACACACACACACACACACACACACACAUAAACUCUCUCACACACACACACACACACACACACACACACACACACACACACACACACACACACACAUACACACACACACACACUCAUAAACUCUCACACACACGUAAACAAGCCUUCCAGGUUGCCAUCUAGCCUGUGUGAUUUUAUACAGUUGGAUCUAACAGGAACCAUUUUCUGGUCUGAG